GGUACUAUCUGGAAAGCUAGUUGAAAGCUUUAGAGAGGUUUUUGAGCCUCUUUGAGCUGAACGUGUACUCUUGGGAGCUGGUUUGGAGGGUAUUCUAAUCAAGGCGAGAGUGCGACCGAGCUUUAGAGCACCUUUAGUGGACUUGUGAGGGCUCUUGGAGACUCAUCUUGAGCAGAGUUGAGACCUUGUGGAGCGGACUUUGGG